GGUUGAUCCUGCCAGUAGUCAUAUGCUUGUCUCAAAGAUUAAGCCAUGCAUGUCUCAGCAUAAGCUUCAAUACGGUGAAACUGCAAAUGGCUCAUUAAAGCAGUUACAAUUUAUUUGAUGGUCGCUGUUACAUGGAUAACUGUGGUAAUUCUAGAGCUAAUACAUGCAUCAAAACCUGACUCUUGGGAAGGGUUGUGUUUAUUAGAUACAAAACCAAUUCAGGCUCGCCCUGAUUGUUUGGUGACUCAUGAUAACUGUAUGAAUUGAAUAGCUUCGGCUGUCAAUGCAUCAUU
rnacentral:rRNA from 1 species